UGGGCUGGCCGGGCGAUCGCGUCGCACUCCUUCAGGAGGACGUCGAGGAAAGUCCGGGCUCCACAGGGCAGGGUGGUGGCUAACAGCCACCCGGGGUGACCCGCGGGACAGUGCCACAGAGAACAAACCGCCUCUCCUCGGAGAGGUAAGGGUGAAACGGUGGUGUAAGAGACCACCAGCGGACUGGGUGACCAGGCCGGCUAGGUAAACCCCACUUGGAGCAAGAUCAAGAAGUUCGGAGCCCUCGGGCAUCGGAUGCGCGCACGUUCGAGGGCUGCCCGCCCGAGUGCGCGGGUAGAUCGCUGGAGGCCGUCGGUAACGGUGGUCCGAGAUGGAUGGUCGCCCCUCUUCGGAGGACAGAACCCGGCUUACAGGUCAGCCCGUCCG
rnacentral:RNase_P_RNA from 3 species